rnacentral:rRNA from 1 species
AUAGAGUGGUGAUCAUGAUUAUUUGGCUUAAAGUGUGCGUAGCAGGAAUUCUAACUCCUCUGUGAAAUGUCAUGUCUUAAGCUUGACCCGUGCAGAGGAUACUGGAAUCCUUGGGACUGGGAUACGUGUAACGUACGGUUUGGGUAGGGUGAAAUCGAAUAAUCCAAGCCGGACAACCGGUGGCGAAGCGCUUACACUGGAACAGGUCCGACUGUGAGGCACGAAAGCUAAGGUCGCGAGCCGGAUUAGAUACCCGGUAGUCCUACGCUGUAAACGAGCUCAUUAAGUGUUAGGUAAUGCAAGACAUUCUCUAGUGCCGAAGCGAAAGCGUUAAGUGAGCCGCCUGGGAAGUACGUUCGCAAGAAUGAAACUUAAAGGAAUUGGCGGGGGCCUACUACAAUAAGUGGAGCCUGCGGUUUAAUUGGACUCAACUCCGGGAAACUCACCUGGGCCGUAACACGGAUGAUUGUCCUGUUGAAGACACUGCUUGACGUGUUACUGGAGGUGCAUGGCCAUCGUCAGUUCGUGCCGUGAGGUAUCCUGUUAAGUCAGGCAACGAACGGAGAUCCCUGACCGUCAAUUGCCAGCGAGACCACUUGGGUUCGUCAGGGACAUUGGCGGGGACUCGCUCGCGAAUAAGUGAGAGGAAGGAACGGCCAACGGUAGGUCAGUAUGCCCCGAUAUGCCCAGGGCUAACACGCGGGCUACAAUGGCAGGUACAAAGGGUUCCGACACCGAAAGGUGCAGGCAAUCUCUAAAGCCAGUCUCAGUUGGGAUUGUGGGCUGCAACUCGCCCACAUGAACUUGGAAUUUUUAGUAAGCGCACGUCAACAGCGUGCACUGAAUACGUCCCUGGGCCUUGCACACACCGCCCGUCGCAGCACGCGAGACGGGCUUGCCAGAGGCUACAGCUCAAUACUGUAUUCGAUGGUAAGUUCGUUGAGCAGGCUG